GAUGAACGCUGGCGGCAGGCCCAACACAUGCAAGUCGAGCGGGGUUUUCGGACCUAGCGGCGGACGGGGGAGUAAUGCGUAGGAAGCUGCCCGAUAGAGGGGGAUACCAGUUGGAAACGACUGCUAAUACCGCAUAAUGUCUACGGACCAAAGUGUGGGACCUUCGGGCCACAUGCAAUCGGAUGCGCCUACGUGGGAUUAGGUAGUUGGUGAGGUAAUGGCUCACCAAGGCGACGAUCUCUAGCUGGUUUGAGAGGAUGAUCAUCCACCCUGGAACUGAGACACGGUCCAGACUCCUACGGGAGGCAGCAGUGGGGAAUAUUGGACAAUGGGCGCAAGCCUGAUCCAGCCAUGCCGCGUGUGUGAAGAAGGCCUUCGGGUUGUAAAGCACUUUCAGCGAGGAGGAAGGGGUGUGUGUUAAUAGUACACACCUUUGACGUUACUCGCAGAAGAAGCACCGGCUAACUCUGUGCCAGCAGCCGCGGUAACAC
rnacentral:rRNA from 1 species